GUUUGCAGGCACUGGGAUGCGGGACCCUCACCCACGAGCUUCGCCAUCCGGAUCUGCUUCCCCCGGAGCUCGCCUUCACAGUAAAGAACGUAGUGGUCCAUCACGUUCGACGGCGAGAUGUGCACCACGCGCCUGCCCUCGUCUGCGGAAGGACGGUGGCACGAGCUGAAUAAGCCAUGUGACCCUCCAGGAAGACCUGGAGCUCGCCCAGCGCCCAGCCUGGUGGACCCUCCAGUUUCCACAUGCUCCCAGCUGCUCAGGCCGUGAGGUCUCCACCUCUUGAGGACCCAACACACCGGGAGAGCCCCAUACCAGAAAGAGGGUCACAUCCCCAACCAACGGACCACAGAGAGGUUUCGGGGCAUGGAGUUGGAGCAGGUCGGAGUGUGGGGUGCUCAGUCCCCAACAACCAGAUACGACUCUGCUCCUCGCCCCUGACGUGGGCACAGCCAUAACCCAGCGGGGCCCCUGGGCGGUCCAGUCCCUCCUGGGACAAUGUGUCCCUCCUGGCUCUUAGUGUCAAGUGAUCAUAUCUUCAGGGCAAACUGACCAGAGGGAGGAGAGGGUGUACAUUUAAUGGGGUCAGAAAGGAGCGGGGCUUCUCAGGCUAAAAUGCCUCCCCAGAAAUGCGCAGGCUGCCCCCGGCUCCCCCAGUGUGUGGGGCACCACCCGGCUGGGGCUCCAAGACUCACCGGCCGUGUAUUUGCCGGGCUCAUUGGUUUUCUCCAGCACCAGUUUCGUCUCCUGGCACUGACCCCUCACCCUGGAACACAGAAGCCAUGUGGUGAUGCUGCCGUGGGUGUACCCACUUUGGAAACACAGCCAGCCCCGGUUGCCCCCCUCCAGGACCGUGAGGAUCAUGGGAGUCACCAACUCAGGCUUCUCCCCGGGAAUCUCCUGGUCAGCGGUCACGGCCUUCAGAUACCAUUUCCCUGAGACCUGGGGAUGUUCCCCCCAUCAGGGCUCCGGCCGACCCCACGGCCUCCCCCUCCCGCUCUGCAGCCCCAGACUCUACCCCACCCCCAGGGCUGGGGGCUUGGAGCGCUUCCCAGCC
rnacentral:lncRNA from 1 species